AUGAUUUUUAAUUAUUCUAUUUAUUGAUCUCCUUAGGAGUGUGAUUUUUGUCAACGUUCUGAAAAAAGGUCUAACCCUUUAUUAUCCUUCCUGUUUUCAAAUUGUAAAGAGGCCAUUUCCUAGUGGUGGAGGGGAAAUUUGGGGCCCAGCAUCCUUGUGGUAUAGGAGUUCCUGCUGUUGGCAUGGUAUUUCCUGGUUAUGUUACUCAGCCACAGCUUGGUUUGGGGAAUUCCGAAAUGACACGGCUUGCAGUUCUAGCGGGUGCUGCAGGAGCUUUGGGUGCUACAUAUUAUCCACCAUAUACUGUUGUUGAUGAUGCUUAUCAUCCUUGCUCGUUAGGUCAGACAUCUUCAACUGGUUCCUCAAGCAAAGGAAUUAGCACUAACAAAUCAAAUAAUGAAUGGAAGCCUUCCCUGAUACCAGGCAAGAAUUAAUGUUGCAUUGAAGGUUGAAGUUUUGCUCAAUGAAACUUUUACGCCGAUUCGGUGUUGCAAAGUUUCUUAGUGUGGUUAUCUGGUGUUGCAGGCCUUUUUCCAGCUCCAUUGUGAUCUCCAGCUUUUGUGCCGAAGCACUUUGGGUUGCUGUUUGUUCCAAUACAAUCUAGUUAUACAUGACAAACGCCUACGCAUGGUGCAAUAAAUUUAAUAAAAUUAUUGUAGCUUGAAAGGUGGCUGAUCCUUGUUGAAAAGAAAAAAAGGGAAAAUAAUGGAUGGAAGCCUUCCUUGAAACCAAUUAGAUGGCAAAUGGCUGCUCAUGCGACAGUCAAUUUAAUAACAUUAUUGUGGCAGGUGGUGGAAAGGAAAAAAAGAGGAAAAAAGAAAGGAAGGGAAGAAAAAAAGUUAAAAAGAAAACAGAAAAAAAAAAAGAAGAGAGAAAAAUUGAAAAAAGAGGAAAAAAAACUUUGCAAAUGCUUGUCCUAUUGGUAGACGUGGAGGGUUGUGUUGCAAAAUCCGAGGCUAUUCGUGCUUAUUCUGCCAUUGGAUUGCACUCCAUUGAUCGUUAUUUGUGACGUAAUCAUGGAGUUCAAGGUUUGACAAACGAACAAAAAAAAUGCGGUUCCUAAUAAUGGGAUGUCAUACAAGUUUUAGAUUAUAAACAGGCCAAUUCCUAGUGGUGGAGGGGAAAUUUGGGGGCCAUCAUCCUUGUGGUAUUGGAGGUCCUGCUGUUGGCACAACAUUUCUUGGUUAUGUUGCUCAGCCAUAGCUUGGUUUGGGGAAUUCAGAAAUGACAUGGCUUCCAGUUCUGGCGGGUGCUGCAUAUUGUCCACCCUAUGUUGCUGUUGAUGGUGCUUAUCAUUCUCGCCUGUUAGUGAUUGCAGCAAAGGAUUUGCAACUAACAAAUCAAAUAAUGAAUGGAAGUCUUCCCUAAAACCAGUUAUAUAUGAUAAACGCCUUUGCAUGCUGCAAUCAAUUUAAUAACAUUACUGCAGCCUGGCAUGUGAUUGGAAAACUAAUGAUUGGAAGCCUUCCCUGAAUCCAGGCCUUUUUCCAGGUCCAUUAUGAUCUCCAGCUUUUGUUCUGGGGCACUUUGGAUUGCUCUCUUUCCAAUUUAAUUUGGGUAGUUUAUACUGGCUUCUGUUUUCUUGUCUGUAUCUGAAGUCAUUCUUUGGCUAUCUGGUGGUGCAAGCCUUUUUCCUUGUCCAUUGUGAUCUCCAGCUUUUGUUCCGGAGCCCUUCAAGCAACAGGCUGUUCUAAUAUAAUUUAGGUAUUUGUACUGGCUUCUGUUUUUUCUGCUGAUUUCAUUCAUUUGUUGUGAUUACUCACCCUUCCCUCUUAUGUUUUUUGCUUUUGCAGUUAUAUAUGACAAACGCCUGCGCAUGUUGCAGUAAAUUUAAUAACAUUGCUGUAGCCUGAUAGGUGGUGGAUCCUUGUCCCAAAAAAAAAAAAAAAAUAA